CAAAAAACAAACAUAGUUUCACAGAAGGUUUUACACUUUUUCUUUGAAAAGUGAUUCGUUUUCUUGAAAAUAAAAGUAAAAAUAGUCUUAGUCAAAUUAUUUUUUCAUUUCCAAAGUUUUUUCCUGCUAUCUCCAGAAGUAAAAUUGAAAGUUCUUCCGUUCAAUUUCAAAACUGUAGAACUGUCAAAACAUUAAAUGAUAAACCUUGGUGAAAAGCAGAACAAAAAUUAACCAUCCUUCAGUCAUGUUCACCAUGGAAUAUCAGAUGGUAUAAAUUUAAUAAAAUCUAUUAUAUAUUUUUCUGAAUAUGAACUAUAAAACUUUAUUUAUCAUGAACCAAACUUCAGAAUUAUCACAUAUACGUGAUUAAACAACGCUAACAUACAAAAUUAACAGCCUAUAAAUAUUUAUCUUAUCUCGAAUUACUUAUGUGAAUUUUGUCCAUUCAUUUAUCGAAAUAACUCAUAGUGCUUCAAAUGUUAAGCUCUCAACUCUCUCGACUCUCUUUUCGUCAUUUUCCGCUCAGCAUACAAAAGCGACAACUGUCAUUUUUUUGUUCCGUAUUUGUUCGGUGGUGCCUCGGAAUUACAUUUUUCCAGAUUUUGCCGUGACGUUCCUGCGUUUAUGCAGACAGCAAUAUGGAACCGGAAGAUAAAUUGUCCGUUUGGGCACUUCCCGACGAGCCCCGAGCAACCCCCAUGACUGGCAGGAAAAAUAUGGCGCAAUGUCUAUAGCUCAUCUAGAUGGCUGCGCAUCACAAUUCAUUGGCUGGUUAUCGUCAAUAUUUUAAAAUCCUGUUGCUGAUCUAAACGGUGCUGAUAAUUACAUCCUUUGUAUUUAUGAUCUGACCCCGAUUGAAUAAAACACCCAUGUGAAGUUUAAAAUAAACAAACAAAA